UGCGCAGGCGGCCGUGUGUGUCAGGUGUGAAAUCCCGGGGCUUAACCCCGGAACUGCGCCUGAAACUACAUGGCUAGAGUAUUGGAGAGGGUAGCGGAAUUCACGGUGUAGCAGUGAAAUGCGUAGAUAUCGUGAGGAACACCAGAGGCGGAGGCGGCUACCUGGACAAUUACUGACGCUCAGGCACGAAAGCGUGGGGAGCAAAAGGGAUUAGAUACCCCUGUAGUCCACGCCCUAAACGGUGCACACUAGGUCUUGGCGGAUUCGACCCCACCAGGGCCCAAGCUAACGCGUUAAGUGUGCCGCCUGAGGACUACGGCCGCAAGGCUAAA
rnacentral:rRNA from 1 species